UCAGGCCUAACACAUGCAAGUCGAACGGCAGCGCGGGAGCAAUCCUGGCGGCGAGUGGCGAACGGGUGAGUAAUGCAUCGGAACGUGCCCGGUAGUGGGGGAUAACUGCUCGAAAGAGCAGCUAAUACCGCAUACGACCUGAGGGUGAAAGGGGGGGAUCGCAAGACCUCUCGCUAUCGGAGCGGCCGAUGUCGGAUUAGCUAGUUGGUGGGGUAAAGGCCCACCAAGGCAACGAUCCGUAGCUGGUCUGAGAGGACGACCAGCCACACUGGGACUGAGACACGGCCCAGACUCCUACGGGAGGCAGCAGUGGGGAAUUUUGGACAAUGGACGCAAGUCUGAUCCAGCCAUGCCGCGUGCGGGAAGAAGGCCUUCGGGUUGUAAACCGCUUUUGUCAGGGAAGAAAUCUUCUGGG
rnacentral:rRNA from 1 species